rnacentral:tRNA from 1 species
GGGGAUUUAGCUCAGUGGUAGAGCGCUUGCCUAGCAAGCACAAGGCCCUGGGUUCGGGCCUCAGCUCCG